UACGGAGGGUGCGAGCGUUGUCCGGAAUCACUGGGCGUAAAGGGCGCGUAGGCGGCGCGAGCAGUCGGCGGUGAAAGCCCGAAGCUCAACUCCGGGUCGGCCGUCGAUACUCUCGUGCUUGAGCACUGUAGAGGCAGGUGGAAUUCCGGGUGUAGCGGUGGAAUGCGUAGAGAUCCGGAAGAACACCGGUGGCGAAGGCGGCCUGCUGGGCAGUAGCUGACG
rnacentral:rRNA from 1 species